CAAAGCCCCUCAAAUAUUUCCUGUUCCCCUGCCAUAUAUCUUUAUAGGCUAUUUCUCUCACAUACAUCUUUAUAGACAAUCCAAGCUCUUUUUGAUAUAUUUCUAGUCCCAAAGUCUUCAAAGCCAGGGUUCCUUCUUAUUUUUUUUAUGACUUGUACCCUUUAGCAGGCUGAGCUUUUGAUGUCAGGUAUCAAUUUCUAACUUUUAAUUUUGUCUCUAGAAAGUAAUGUAAAGAGAAAUAUAAAGGUUAAAAUAAUACUCCUCAUAAGCGUACAGCUGCAAAUUUCAUGCCUAAAAAUGGAAAAUUAAUAGUACCUUUCCCUUUUAACUCUUAAUGCGGUAACCCGUUCUUGGUUUCAGCAUCUCAAUGAGGUCCUUUCAGGAAAGGAUUUUACUGUGGUUUUAUGGGUUCGGUAUCCAGGACAGGAGCCCUUCUUAGCUGCGACAUAAUAGCGCUAAGUGGAAAAUUGCUGCUUUUAAUGCAGUGCUUUCAAAUGGACUCUAACAUCUUGGGUUUUCAUCCUUUAAAGGCUUCAAAUUAUCUGUGGGACCGACUGGUGCCAUCAGGGAGAGGAUAAGAGACGUGGGGAAGAGAAUUUCUCAGGGUGGUGUUUUGGAGAUAUCGUGUCAAAGACCGUCAGAUGAGAGGAGGGAGGAGCCGGGAGCAGAGCCUUGCUGUUCCGGGGGUGGGGGUGGGGUGCAGGACCUGCCCUGUGGAAACAGGCCUGGGGCUGCACAGGACAGAGCCGAGGGGGCCAGAGGACAGAGCGCAGGCACCGAGCCCCUGACAAGCACACACCCCUGGGCCUUGAUGUCUUCACGGGGCAACUGCGUGCAGCUCUGGGGUGAAUCCGGCAUUUGUGAAGUUCAGGGGGAGAGGACAGUUCAGCUGGCUCUGCAAAAAGCCAUCUUACAAGCCGACAGCACCGUCCUGCAGCCACAGACCCGCUUUCCCACCAGCUCGCAGAGGGAGGACGGCCGGGGCGGGCUGGCUGAGGUACGACGAUGUUUAUUUUCCCGUAUCGGAGCGAUGGCGAGGGCUGCAGGUGACGCUGAGGAACGUGCCCCAGGAGGUCCUAGGAGCUCCAGUCCUGACCACCUCUGGCCGCCCCUCCUCUGUUAAGGUAGGACCAAAACACAGUCUCACGAAGAGAAAGGGUCUGAACGCUGAUGGUAUUUUGAACGAGGGACACCUGUAGAAGGUGACCUGCUGCAAACUGGAACCCGCUCACAGAAAAAUAAAGCGGAGCACCCAAGAACGUGCA
rnacentral:lncRNA from 12 species